GACGAACGCUGGCGGCGUGCUUAACACAUGCAAGUCGAACGAGAGCGUAGAGAAAGCUUGCUCUUUCUACAAUCUAGUGGCAAACGGGUGAGUAACGCGUAAACAACCUGCCCUACGGAUGGGGACAACAGCUGGAAACGGCUGCUAAUACCGAAUACGUUCCGAAAGUCGCAUGACUGUCGGAAGAAAGGAUGGCCUCUAUUUAUAAGCUAUCGCCGGAGGAGGGGUUUGCGUCUGAUUAGCUAGUUGGAGGGGUAACGGCCCACCAAGGCGACGAUCAGUAGCCGGUCUGAGAGGAUGAACGGCCACAUUGGAACUGAGACACGGUCCAGACUCCUACGGGAGGCAGCAGUGGGGAAUCUUCCGCAAUGGGCGAAAGCCUGACGGAGCAACGCCGCGUGAGUGAAGACGGCCUUCGGGUUGUAAAGCUCUGUUAUACGGGACGAAUAGUCUUGUGGUUAAUACCCAUGAGAAGUG
rnacentral:rRNA from 1 species